GGGAGAAGGUGGACUCACGUCCAGAGACCAGUUCCAAGGAUUCUGCUCAAAUGCAACAAUUUUUUAAGGGAAAAAAGGAGUAAGAGUCUCAGUGAAUUAUUAAGGCAAGAGGUCAGGUUCUUCAUCAUUGUGUGCAGAUUAAGAAUCAAGAUUUGUUUUGCAGUUGUGAAAUCCUUCAACUGGGUCACAACCAGCAUUUAAAUAUUUUUUAAUGGAAUAGAAUAGAGCACACUGGAAUAGAAAAUAAAAUACAACAA